AAGAUAAGUAAUAGGCUUGCCAAGUGUUUCAUUUAUCUCUCUUCAAGGUCAAGAGAUCUAGGGGAAGCUUCCCAUGUUCCAGAACAAUAUUUGGGCUCCCUUUAUAGGAUUUAAUAGUAUGUAUGGACAAGAGCUAAACAGGAUAAAGGGUGACCACUUUCAAGACAACUUCUUGGACUGAGUCAAAGUUUUUAAGACUAUAAAUUAUAUUUAAGUUCGAUCUGUACACUGGAGGAUAUUUUUACAAUAACAAAAUAAAGAUUCUGGAAAUAUGAUGAAUUAGGGAAGU
rnacentral:lncRNA from 1 species